rnacentral:lncRNA from 1 species
UUACAAGUAAUUAAGAUGGAAAAUUUCUCUGUCUCUCUCUUUUGGAUUGUUCGUUUCUAGUUUCAAAGAAGAUAGCUUUAUUUGUAAUUUAGUGGAUAACAAUUUACUGACCACAACCACUAUUGUCUAUCAAAUUGUCGACCACAUCCACAAGACUAUCCAAUUCAUGCCCACAUCCACAGGUUUUCGAAGAGACGAUUGAACAUUUACUCCCAAACACAACUAAACCACAACUAUCAUGACCACAAAUUUUCGGCAUACCAACACCAUUGUCCACGCUUCUGUCAACUAAUUUCACUAACCACCACAAUUAUGCGUCCAUAACCAUGCUGUUCACUACAUCAAAAUUCAUGACCACAACUGCUUCCUGCCGCACACA